AUGGUUAGGUUGCAGGGUUGCAGGGUACCCGUCAGUGUAAUUAUUGUUCGUGACCUGGGUCAUAGUAAAUGGUGCCUACUCCUAGUAAGUAAAAGUUACUCACCCAGCCUGCACUAUAUAUGGAUCCUUCAUCAACGUAGUGCAUGGUGUCCAGUUCGUAGGAUGGUGAAGGUUGUUGCUCCAGUUUUUGCUACUCGGUUCUUGCUUGCUAUGCAUGUACAAUCCUGUAUUCCAAUUUCCAAUAGCAGGUUUGCUGCUUCUCAGCCUGGUUGGUUGGUUGGUAUCCUCAAACAGAACAAAAGCUCUCAUGCAGGCCAGCCCGAGAUCAGGAAUUUUGCUACAAAAACACAACCCCAUGGCCGUGUCCCUUCUGGAGAUGCUAGUGGAGCCAAUGAACUGCUAAGAGAGAGAGAGAGAGAGAGAGAGAGAGAGAGAGAUGAACAUGAGAGGAACAGUAUAGAAGAGGGAAUCGUGUUGUCGAUGGAGUGUGAGGGAGGUGGUGUGGAGUUGUGCCGGGACAUGGAUGAACCCAUGCUUGUGAACUCCGGCGAGACUGUGAUGUAUGGCGUGAUCACAGAGAAAAAUAGUUGA
rnacentral:rRNA from 1 species